rnacentral:guide_RNA from 1 species
CAUACGGCAAUUACGAUAUAAGUCAGAGAAUGUUGUUAAUUUGUAGUA